UACGAGUGCUCCAAGCGUUAUCCGGAAUCAUUGGGCGUAAAGGGUGUGUAGGUGGUAAUGUUAGUCCUGUGUUAAAUUCUUCGGCUCAACCGGGGGCAUGCAUGGGAAACGGCAUUACUUGAGGAUGCGAGAGGCACAUGGAACUCAUGGAGUAGGGGUGAAAUCCGUUGAUAUCAUGGGGAACACCGAAAGCGAAGGCAAUGUGCUGGCGCACUCCUGACACUGAAACACGAAAGCGUAGGUAGCGAAUGGG
rnacentral:rRNA from 1 species